UUUUGGCUUCCUGAGCACCUCUGUUGAAAUUCCCUGGGGAAUUUUGUUUUAUGAAAUUCCCAGCAACUGUGACCUUCGCUGGCUAGUGAUUCAAAGCCAGGAGAACCUAGCUCACUGGAACCUUGCCAAAGAGGAGGCAGAAAGACUGUAAGGACCAGAGGAAAUGGAGGAGACCAGGAAAACAAGGCCCUCUAGUCAACACGAUCGAAGCUUGUAUAAACCCAGAGACUGAGGGAGCAAGCACAGGGCCUGCUCAGAAUUGGAUGAUGAUGAUGAUGAUAAAGGAGAAGGAGAAGGAGAAGGAGAAGGAGAAGGAGAAGGAGAAGGAGAAGGAGAAGGAGAAGGAGAAGGAGAAGGAACAAGAAGAAUUGAUGUGAGGUGAGGUGGGACUGUGGCAAAAGGAAAUUGGAUAAAUUUCAAAAUGGAAUGAACUUUGUAUUUUGAAAGCUUUGUUUUCUGGCAAGAUUCAUGGUCUUCCUCCCACACUCUGGUGUGAGGCCAGCAUCUGGAGGAAGGUAAUGCUACUCUAAGCAGGAUGUUAAAAAAAAUUAAUAUUGACUCUGAAAGAAGCAGCCACUGGUGUGGGGACUUUCUCGGCCUCCUCAAUAGUAAUAAAAGCAUUGGGGUCUGAAGAGGAUCCAUGUGUAACAGUAAGGGUGAACACAGAGGGCACUGUGCUAAAUGCAAGAAACUACAAGCAGAAAUCAAAUCCACAAACUCUCUCUUGUGUACAGAAUGCAAAAUAGCAAAGCUCACAGAAGCAAAGAGGAUGAAAGAAAGGAGAGGUUAACAGAGGGCAGAAAUUAUCCGUCCUGAGUAGUCUUGGAACAUCUCAUAUAGGGCAGACGACUGCAGUGAGCAACGUAGUAUCAAUUUGCUAUUUGCUGAGAGGGAUGACCUGGAGUGUGUUAGCAUACAGACCACUGUGAAGGCCACUGUGUGAGAUGGUAGGGAAGUUAAAUUGUGUGUUGUGCAUAGAUGAAAGCAUCAAGCUCUGGGACUUUAUUAUAUCCAAUUUCUAGUUACUCAACUAUAGCAUGGCAGAAAAAUAAAAACAAUGGAAGAGAUGUUUUCACCAG
rnacentral:lncRNA from 1 species